CUGCCGCCGGUGAGGCGCGUAGGUUUCAAACUGUGCCCCGAAUUGUCAAGUCGCAGCCCUGCUCCGACUUCCAUUGCUUUCUUUUCUUUUCUUUUGAAUGAAUAAUAUAAUAAUAUAAUAGCGUGCUUCAAGAUGUACGCCCGUCCCCAGGGCAGACGAUGAUAUCUUCAAUAGCGUGCAUGCCUCGGUCGGAGACGAUGAUAUCCUUUGCAUCUGUUUUCGUUUGUCUUUUCG
rnacentral:lncRNA from 1 species